rnacentral:rRNA from 1 species
UACAGAGGGGGCAAGCGUUGUUCGGAAUUACUGGGCGUAAAGGGCGCGUAGGCGGCCUUCUAAGUCGAACGUGAAAUCCCCGGGCUCAACCCGGGAACUGCGUCCGAUACUGGAAGGCUUGAAUCCGGGAGAGGGAUGCGGAAUUCCAGGUGUAGCGGUGAAAUGCGUAGAUAUCUGGAGGAACACCGGUGGCGAAGGCGGCAUCCUGGACCGGCAUUGACGCUGAGGCGCGAAAGCCAGGGGAGCAAAGC